UACGUAGGGUCCGAGCGUUGUCCGGAAUUACUGGGCGUAAAGAGCUCGUAGGUGGUUUGUCGCGUUGUUCGUGAAAACUCACAGCUCAACUGUGGGCGUGCGGGCGAUACGGGCAGACUAGAGUACUGCAGGGGAGACUGGAAUUCCUGGUGUAGCGGUGGAAUGCGCAGAUAUCAGGAGGAACACCGGUGGCGAAGGCGGGUCUCUGGGCCGAUACUGACGCUGAGGAGCGAAAGCGUGGGGAGCGAACAGG
rnacentral:rRNA from 1 species